UGCCAGCCGCCGCGGUAAUACUGCGUGUGCAAUCGUGAAUCGGAGUUACUGGGCGUAACGCGCGCGUAGGCGGCUUUUUAAGUCGGAUGUGAAAGCCCCGGGCUCAACCUGGGAACUGCAUUCGAUACUGGCAGACUAGAGUGCGAGAGAGGGAGGUAGAAUUCCAUGUGUAGCGGUGAAAUGCGUAGAUAUGUGGAGGAAUACCAGUGGCGAAGGCGGCCUCCUGGCUCGACACUGACACUGAGGUGCGAAAGCGUGGGGAGCAAACAGGAUUAGAUA
rnacentral:rRNA from 1 species